GUGGCAACCGCCGCCACCUGAGACACGGUGAGGCUCUUGCCACCCAACGUCACCACGGGGUUACGGUAGUCCUCCACCAUGCGCUUCACCUCAUCAAGGUGGCUACCCUUCAAAGCUUCCGCGGCCAUGCCCCAGUUAAGUGGGUCCGUGCUACCAUUGCAAAGGUUCAAUGAACCAUUUGCAUUGCCGUAACUCCGCCGUGGUGGUGGGUGGCAACCGCCGCCACCUGAGACACGGUGAGGCUCUUGCCACCCAACGUCACCACGGGGUUACGGUAGUCCUCCACCAUGCGCUUCACCUCAUCAAGGUGGCUACCCUUCAAAGCUUCCGCGGCCAUGCCCCAGUUAAGUGGGUCCGUGCUACCAUUGCAAAGGUUCAAUGAACCAUUUGCAUUGCCAUUGCUAUGAAUUUCCUUGGAAUAUUCCAUCCUAAAAAAAUGGCCUGGUCGGAGAGGAAGUAUUAUAGG
rnacentral:lncRNA from 1 species